GACUCGGUGGCGGACGGUCCGCUCCACACGAUCUAAUCUGUUGCAGCGCCGUUCUGUGGAAGUCGCCUGUUCAAUCCGGGCCCGAGUCA